rnacentral:rRNA from 1 species
UAUUGGUCCAUGGGCGGGAGCCUGAACCAGCCAAGUCGCGUGAGGGAGUAAGGCCCUACGGGUCGUAAGCCUCUUUUGCCGGGGAGCAGGGCGGCGGACGUGUCCGCCGUUUGAGAGUACCCGGAGAAAAAGCAUCGGCUAACCCCGUGCCAGCAGCCGCGGUAAUACGGAGGAUGAGAGCGUUAUCCGGCUUUAGUGGGUUUAAAGGGUGCGUAGGCGGGCUUUUAAGUCAGCGGUAAAAAGUCGGGGCUCAACCCCGUCCGGCCGUUGAAACUGGGGGCCUAGAGUGGGCGAGAAGAAGGCGGAAUGCGUGGUGUAGCGGUGAAAUGCAUAGAUAUCACGCAGAACCCCGAUUGCGAAGGCAGCCUUCCGGCGCCCUACUGACGCUGAGGCACGAAAGUGCGGGGAUCGA